rnacentral:rRNA from 1 species
UUUGAUUAUAAUWUAAGGUCUAGCSUGCCCUAUGAGUGUUCUUAAAUGGCCGCAGUAUCUUGACUGUGCAAAGGUAGCAUAAUCAAUAGUUUUUUAAUUGAAAGCUGGAAUGAAAGGUUUUAUGAGAAAAUAGCUGUCUCUAAUAAAAUUAUUUAGAAUUUUAUUAUUAAGUGAAAAUGCUUAAAUAAAAAUAGAAGACGAGAAGACCCUAUAGAGUUUUAUAUUUAUAUAUAUAUUAUAUUUUAGUAUUUUUAUUAUAUAUAUAUAUAUAAGUAUUUAAUUGGGGUGAUUGAAAAAUUAAAAUAACUUUUUUUGUAUUGUAACAUAAAUAUAUGAUAUAUUGAUCCUUACUUUAAGAUUAAAAGAUUAAAUUACCUUAGGGAUAACAGCGUUAUUUUUUUUAAGAGUUCUAAUCGAAAAAAAAGAUUGCGACCUCGAUGUUGGAUUAAAAUUAAUUUAUGGUGUAGAAGCUAUAAUAUUAGGUCUGUUCGACCUUUAAAAUUUUACAUGAUCUGAGUUUAAACCG